rnacentral:rRNA from 1 species
UACGAAGGGUGCAAGCGUUAAUCGGAAUUACUGGGCGUAAAGGGAGCGUAGGCGGAUAGUUUAGUCAGAGGUGAAAGCCCAGGGCUCAACCUUGGAAUUGCCUUUGAUACUGGCUAUCUUGAGUAUGGGAGAGGUAUGUGGAACUCCGAGUGUAGAGGUGAAAUUCGUAGAUAUUCGGAAGAACACCAGUGGCGAAGGCGACAUACUGGCCCAUUACUGACGCUGAGGCUCGAAAGCGUGGGAGCAAC